ensembl:miRNA
CUGAGGAGCAGGGCUUAGCUGCUUGUGAGCAGGGUUCACUCCAAGUCAUGUUCACAGUGGCUAAGU